AUGCCUCUGAGCUGGAAGCGCUUCCUGCAAGCUAAUGAGCUGGAGCUUUCCCUGGUGGCCAUCCCUGAGCGCAGCUCACUCUCAGACAAUCUGGCAAGAAGGGACGGGAGGGGCAAAGUGAGAAAAGCAAACCCUUUCCAAGCGGAGCUCAUGGAUCUUAGAAGGAUGUUUCAUUUACCUUGAAUUGGUUCAUUUUCAGAACGCUUAGCUGACUGGAAUUAAGGCAACCUCGAAAUGAAAUCUGUUUGAUGAGAUGGCCUCGAGUAGACUUGACAUCCGUAAGGUGUCCACAAAUUCAGAUGCUCCUGUUGGUCCUCCAUCCAAUCCAAACACCAAUAACUUCCAGUGCAAAUGCCAGUUUCCAGUAACCCAAGCCACGCCCCUGCGUGCCUCGCUGGAGCCCAAGGUUCAACAGCCGAGAAGCCAACCAUAUCAGGAGUCCUGACCUACCAGAAAGAGUCUCAUAUGGAGAAUGGCUGUGCAUAGCUGACUACUUCCUGCUGGGAAGACCAAGACCAUAGGUACCUAAGCAACCUGAGACACCCAAGGACUACAAGGGCAAGCUGAUCUGUAUUUUCAUGUCACUGCGCAUGGGAGAUACGCUAGCUCUGAGUGACAACAGCAUAUGGGGCAAUGCUAAGCAUUUCUUAGUUUUAGGAGGAAGAGGUGAAAAUUCACAUUUAAGCUAGGCAUGGAUUGGACUUGGAGAUACGGAGGGAAAGGUGAAAAUCUGAAAUUUUCCAACUUGAUUUCCUGGUCAGUGUAAUGUUAAAUUUUAAAGUAGUUUCUCAAGAAAAAUCUUUUAAUUGAACAUAAAAUGAUGAAGUAUAGAUCUGGGUCAAAUAUAUUUUCUCCCUUCUUCCUUUAUAGAUAGAUAGAUAGAUAGAUAGAUAGAUAGAUAGAUAGAUAGAUAGAUAGAUAGAUAGAUAGAUAGAUAACAGAAACAUACAGUUCUCUGAAGACUGAAAAUUCUGCUGGAUUUAUGGCUGUGCCAGUCCUCCUUGUAAGUUGUCGCUGUUUUUGUUUUGUCAUUUUGUUUUAUUUUUCUAUUUGUGAGGCUGGGUCUUUCUAGGUAGCCCUGGCUGGCCUGAUAACUUGCUAUGCAGUCUGAAUUGGCCUCGAGCUCCUGGCAAUCUUCCUGAGUUGAUGUCGCGUGUGCUGGGAUUACAGGCACGUGCUACCACACCUGUGUUACUUUGCUCUUAUUUUCCAGACCUCGUACCUGCAUUCUAAUUUAUUUAUUUAUUUCUGACACUCUGUCAAAGUAGCUGGCAGGAACCACUCAAGAGGAAAGGGCUUAUUUUGGCUCAGAGUUUCUGAGGACUCCAUCCACAGUCGUGGAGGAGACACGGAGGCAGAAGUGGCUGAGUCCACGUAAGGUCUCAGACGGUGACGGUUUGAGUCCCUAGGCGAUGCUCGCUCUGUGGGGCCUGUCCUGGAAACAAGGAGCUGGACUGGAUCCGGAGGUCUGUAUAGUAAACUUCUUCUGUUUGCCAGGCCACACAGUCCCGCGGUCCACAGCCUCCCAAAACAGCUCCCCGAGUUGGUGAGCUUUGAAAUACAUGCACUUCCAGGGACGUAAUGUAUGGAAAUGAUCUUGCACCUCCCCAUGGGUAAUCUUUGUCCAGGUGAAUUGAAAGGGCCCUUCUUGCGGGAGUGAGCUGAAUUGCUAAGUAGAGUUCCGUUAGUCUACUGGCAGAUUAAUAAGUGAUCACUUGUCCGGAAGUACUUUAUGGAUUAAGAGAAUGCCCACCGGAACAUCUACAGAGAAGCUAUUUUUAUAAUACAGAAUAUUUAUUUGACUCACACAGAAUAUUUCUUUGUCUUUCUGGGCCACAUUGUUGAAUUUAAGGAAUAAAAUUACUGUUUUAAAUUACUUUACAUUAAAAAAUGUAUUCAACUGUUGGGCAGAGGACAUGGAAUCUUAUGUAAGAAGUGGGAAAUAGUAAGAGCUGGAGAGGACGGAAACCACGCAAGGAGAGCAGCAGAACCAGAAAAUUUGAACACAGGGAACUUCCCAGAGACUCAUUCUCCAACCAAGGACUAUUCAUGGAGAUAACCUAGAACCCCUGCACAGAUGUAGCCCAUGGCAGUUUAGUGUCCAAGUGGGUUACAUAGUAAUGGGAAGAGACACUGCCUCUGACAUAAUCUGAUUGGCCUGCUCUUUGAUCACCUCCUUCUGAGGGGGGAGCAGCCUUACCAGGCCACAGAUGAUGACAAUGCAGCCACUCCUGAUCAGAUCUGAUAGACUAAGAUCAGAAAGAAGGAGAAGAGGACUUCCCCUAUCAGUGGA